AAAUAAAUAAAAAAUAAACAGGGGUCUUUAUGACAAUAAAGCUAUAAAAACAUAAAAAAUAUUUACAAAUUUAUGAAAAACUUUAUAUCUGUGGAUAGGUCUGAAGUUGUUUAAAAGAUCUGAUGUGAAAAAAAAUGAAAAAACAAUUCAUAAAAUUCAUUGCUAUAUCACCUUUUGGAUGGGGACCAUUUUGGGUCCCGAGGGAUACCAAUGGAAGUAUAUUGCAAAAACUCUUAUUGCUCCAAAAAUAAUAAUGCAUCCAAAUCAAUUCUAUUCUGAAUUCUUUACCUAUCCAAGGCUCUAAUAACCUCAUGCCAAGUAGUUCCAUUUGCAACUCAUUUUUUGAAAAUAUUGCAUAUUAUGGUUUUUUACCCCCCAAAAUAAAAAAUAAACAGGGGUCUUUAUGACAAUAAAGCCAUAAAAACCUAAAAAAUAUGAAAAAAAUUAUGAAAAACUUUAUAUCAGUGGAUAGGUCUGAAGUUGUUUAAAAGAUCUGGUGUGAAAAAAACUGGAAAAAAAAUUCAUAAAAUCCAUUGCUAUAUCACCUUUUGGAUGGGGACCAUUUUGGGUCCCGAGGACCAUAAAAGGGUGUAAAUUUGAAAAACUCUUAUUGCUCCAAAAAUAAUAAUGCAUCCAAAUCAAUUCUAUUCUGAAUUCUUUACCUAUCCAAGGCUCUAAUAACCUCAUGCCAAGUAGUUCCAUUUGCAACUCAUUUUUUGAAAAUAUUGCAUAUUAUGGUUUUUUACCCCCCAAAGAAAAUAAACAGGGGUCUUUAUGACAAUAAAGCCAUAAAAACAUAAAAAAUAUUGAGAAAAUUAUGAAAAACUUUAUAUCAGUGGAUAGGUCUGAAGUUGUUUAAAAGAUCUGAUGUGAAAAAAAAUGAAAAAUUAAUUCAUAUAUGAUAUUGCUAUAUCACCUUUUGGAUGGGGACCCCUUUGGGUCCCAAGGGAUACCAAUGGAUGUAUACUGUAAAAACUCUUAUUGCUCCAAAAAUAAUAAUGCAGCCAAAUCAAUUCUGUUAUGAAUUCUUUACCUAUCCAAGGCUCUAAUAACCUCAUGCCAAGUAGUUCCAUUUGCAACUCAUUUUUUAAAAAUAUUGCAUAUUAUGGUUUUUUACCCCCAAAAAAACAGGGGUUUUUAUGACAAUAAAGCCAUAAAAACCUAAAAAAUAUGAAAAAAAUUAUGAAAAACUUUAUAUCAGUGGAUAGGUCUGAAGUUGUUUAAAAGAUCUGAUGUGAAAAAAAAUGAAAAAAAAAUUCAUAAAAUCCAUUGCUAUAUCACCUUUUGGAUGGGGACCAUUUUGGGUCCCGAGGACCAUAAAAGGGUGUAAAUUUGAAAAACUCUUAUUGCUCC
ensembl:lncRNA